rnacentral:rRNA from 1 species
CCCAGGUCAGGGCCGGG